rnacentral:rRNA from 3 species
UCGUGAGACAGGUUAGUUUUACCCUACUGAUGAAUGUUACCGCAAUAGUAAUUGAACUUAGUACGAGAGGAACAGUUCAUUCGGAUAAUUGGUUUUUGCGGCUGUCUGAUCAGGCAUUGCCGCGAAGCUACCAUCCGCUGGAUUAUGGCUGAACGCCUCUAAGUCAGAAUCCAUGCUAGAACGCGGUGAUUUCUUUGCUCCACACAAUAUAGAUGGAUACGAAUAAGGCGUCCUUGUGGCGUCGCUGAACCAUAGCAGGCUAGCAACGGUGCACUUGGCGGAAAGGCCUUGGGUGCUUGCUGGCGAAUUGCAAUGUCAUUUUGCGUGGGGAUAAAUCAUUUGUAUACGACUUAGAUGUACAACGGGGUAUUGUAAGCAG